rnacentral:rRNA from 1 species
UACGUAGGGGGCAAGCGUUGUCCGGAUUUAUUGGGCGUAAAGAGCGUGUAGGCGGCCAGGUAGGUCUGCUGUGAAAACUCGAGGCUCAACCUCGGGCUUGCAGUGGAUACGGGCAGACUAGAGUGCGGUAGGGGAGACUGGAAUUCCUGGUGUAGCGGUGGAAUGCGCAGAUAGUCAGGAGGAACACCGAUGGCGAAGGCAGGUCUCUGGGCCGCAACUGACGCUGAGGAGCGAAAGCGUGGGGAGCAAACAGG